ACCGAGCACAGACACUGUGAUGGACACAGCACGCAGGAUGGCGUAUGCUCCUGGAGGCAGAUCACAGCCAGCACAGACAGCAAUUCUGGGUGAGUGUUAGUCAGAGGGUAUUAGAGCUGGAAGGAUUCUGAGAUCACCUAGUCGUUCACAGAUGGCCUCAGUCAGUAAGUCUUCUAAUGUUAGAAGGAACAUUGAUACAACUUUAUGAAAUACUUUGAUAUAUUUAUUUAUCUUCCUAAAACUAAACCUCAUAAGAUGAUGUUUCAACUUCAAAUAUUGAUAAACCUUAAGCCUAGAUAGGCUGAGUAACUGCAAGCAUAAUUUAUAACAUUUAUAGAAUGUCUAUUUGAUCUCAACAAAAAUAACUAUCCUAUAGGAAAAAUGUAAGGGUUACUGGUUUUAAGAAAUAAAAGGAUGUUUUUCAGAAUACUGGAAGGAUCUAUAUGAGGACAACCUACCUGUUUGCCAGUUUCUUUAAAGCUGUCAGCUCAAGGCUACUGACAUGGCUUUUGCUUCCUUCCUGUAAAUUUUGUUUCUGAAAACCUGAGACAAAUUCACUUGAUAUUUUUGACAACUGGGACCUUAAAAUGAUCAAAAUGAGCCUAAGUCUGAACAGAAAACCAAGAUAGUUUUUAAUAAGUACUUGACCCUUUUUGAGUCAGAAAGUGACUCCAGUCUACUGUCCCCAAAUUGCUGCUCCCCAUUCCUUCCCUGUGUCCCUCACUUCCACUACAGCUGCAGCCGGCCCAGCCUGUCCCUCUUAACACAGCGACGUGGCUUCGUCUUUGCUAACAUGAAGGGUAUAACCUGCCACAGGAUAUCAACGUGUGGGCCAUUUCAAUUUCUUCACUUUGCAGCUGAAUUUUAUACCAAUAAUUCUGCAAUGACAUCUCGGAUUCUAAAAGUCUGCUUCACUGUCAUUUUUUUUUUUCCCAAGAAAGUCUCACUCUGUCAUCCAGGCUGCAGUGCAGUGGUGCGAUCAGCUCACUGUAACCUCAAACUCCUGAUCUCGUGAUCUGCUUGCCUUGGCCUCCCGAAGUGCUGAGAUUACAGGCUUCAGUCACCGCGCCCACCACUACCAUAUUCAAAGUGACUAAAAUGUGCCUCUUAAAAUCUCUGACAGGUUCAGUGUCCUUCUAAGUCUUGCUGGGUACACUAUGCAGAAUCAAUGAUGAGUAAAAUCAUAUUCAAGCCUUACUGAAGAGGACGGGAGACAUCAACACAGUUACCCUGAGGAACUCAAGACUUUAUCCAUACUUUAUCCAGUUUCACAUUUGUCCAGAGAAAACACUGGGCGACCAGGUUCCCAAGCUUAAUAAAUAUAUAUACAAAAAAUGUCAUCUAUAAUAUUUUCUUCAGAAAGCCAUUAGUGCAAAUAUAAUUAUAUCAAUAAAAAAUAAAGCAAAAAUAUAUUUCAAGUAUAAAAAGCACCAUGCUCAGAAACAAUACUACCUAAACGGUGCCACUACACAACAGUCAAAAUAUAGUCGAACCUAUCACUGUGACUCUCAAAUAUAUGAUUAAUUCAUUGUAUUUUUGGUAAAAUUCUUCAUUCAGCUUUGCAGGAUGAUUCAUAAUCAUAAGAAGUAUAUGUUUAGAUUAUUGUAAGUUUCUUUAAAAAUAGACUCUUUGCUUUGACUUUUAAUUUACACAAUUUAAAGUAUGUACAACAUAGGCAGAAAAUGAGCACUGGCCCGCAGACCAUUACGCAGGUUGAGCAUCACUUACUGAAAUGCUUGGGACCAGAAGUGUUUCAGAUUUCAGACUUUUUUUUGGAUUUCGGAUAUUUACAGAUACCUAAUGAGGUAUCUUGGGCAUGGACCCAAGUCUAAACAUGAAAUUCAUGUUUCAUAUAUAACUACACACACUGCCUGAAGGUAAUUUUAUACAAUAUUUUUAGUAGUUUGUGCAUGAAACAAAGUUUGUGUUAAGUACUUGUAUGUGGAAUUUUCUACUUGUAGUAUCAGGUCAGCAUUCAGAAAGUUUCAGAUUUUGGAGCAAUUUGGAUUCUGGAUUUUUGGAUUAGGAAUGCUCAACCUGUAUUAGCUUCUUUUUAGUUAAGUUGACUAUGUUUGAGAUUCCCAGCUUUUCACAAUGACAAAUACCUCCCAUUUAAAACUGCAUGCAAAUACAUACUUUAAAUUUAUGCAUUUGAAAAAAAAGCGACUUUCCUCUGUGCUGGGGUUGCUGUUGGCUCUAGUGCCAAAUAAUCAGAAUUAAUUCUUAGUAAUUAUGUUGCUUUGCUCACUUAGCAUAAUUUCUUCAAUGGAGUACUGAAUAGCUAUAUGCUGAAUGGACGAAAAGCAGGGAAGGACGAGGAAAGGAGGAACAGAAGGAGUCUGUCCGAGGGUUGUGGUUACAAUGCCAUGGAGGAAUAGGAGGAGUCUGUCCGAGGGUUGUGGUUACAAUGCCAUGGAGGAAUAGGAGUCUGUCCGAGGGUUGUGGUUACAAUGCCAUGGAGGAAUAGGAGGAGUCUGUCCGAGGGUUGUGGUUACAAUGCCAUGGAGGAAUAGGAGGAGUCUGUCCGAGGGUUGUGGUUACAAUGCCAUGGAGGAAUAGGAGGAGUCUGUCCGAGGGUUGUGGUUACAAUGCCAUGGAGGAGUAGGAGGAGUCUGUCCGAGGGUUGUGGUUACAAUGCCAUGGAGGAGUAGGAGGAGUCUGUCCGAGGGUUGUGGUUACAAUGCCAUGGAGGAGUAGGAGGAGUCUGUCCGAGGGUUGUGGUUACAAUGCCAUGGAGGAAUAGGAGGAGUCUGUCCGAGGGUUGUGGUUACAAUGCCAUGGAGGAAUAGGAGGAGUCUGUCCGAGGGUUGUGGUUAGAAUGCCAUAGGACUUCAUUAGCUUGAGAGAAAGAAUGGGCAUCGCCUAUCAUUCAUGAAUAUAUUUUUUCUUUUUUCUUUUCAUAUUCUUGUUAAACCUCAUCUAGCCAUUAAAAAUUACUAAAUGGGGCUGGUAAGCUCUAGUACCAGUGUAAAAUUGCUUCUGGGGACCGGAAUCUAUGUAGUAACAGGAGGAGUGUCAAAUGCAGAAGGUAAAGGAUAUUUAAAGCGAAGGCAAUCUUCCAGCUUCUGUGGACUGAGUCUUACUUAAAAGUGGUACAGUGGACGCUACUGGAUAGGCUCUACACCAAACUUAUACCUUGCUAUUAGUACACAAUUCAGACCAUCCUUCUUAAACAUAAAACCAUUUUCAGAUGUUAGAAAUUCUUCUGCAACAAUUUCUUAACCCAUUUUAAAAAACUGCAUACCCGUCUUUACCAGAAUUUCUUUUUAUCUUCAUCGGUCACAAAGGAAUAGUUGUGUUUUUGUUGUUUCACAGUUGUCUUAAGUAUUAUCUAAAACAAUACAAUUAUUUUUUUUCUGUUUGCAUGUCUUCCAUGUUUUUACAGGGCAGAGUAUUUUACUCUCUCGGCUUCCACAUUUUUUCAUGUCAUUAUUAAACUCAUGGAGAAUACAACCAGAAGCUGAGCUCUGAAGAGGGAUGAAUACAGAGGGCUACCAGCACAGUGAUAGCAGUUCUGGAAGCUGGGCUCUGAGGAGGGAUGAAUAGAGGGCUACCAGCACACUGACAGCAGUUCUGCCGUAAACUGCCACAUAGCUGGCAAAAAGGGCAAGCACGGUUAAAUCAUAAGAUUUAAUGAAACAUUAUUUAAAAAAAUUCUUUAGAACAAUGGGAACAGUGAAUUAAGUUUACUAUAUACCAGCCAUUAAUUUUUUUUUUUUUAAGAUACAGGGUCUAACUCUAUCGUGCAGGCUGGAAUACAGUGGUGCAAUCAUAGCUCACUGCAGCCUUGAACUCCUGGGCUCAAGCGAUCCUCCUGCCUCAGCCUCCCAAGUAGCUGGAACCAUGCCUGGCUGCCAUUAAAUUUAAAAUAGGUAUAAUAAUGAUAUGUAGAAAUCCCAAUUCCAUUAUUUUCUAUAACUCAAAGGACAAUUUAUACUUUUGAGGACAAGAUCUCCAAUUCUAAUCUUGCAAUAAUUGGCUGUUGUUUAAGUGACUGCAGUAUAUGGAUGAUGAACUUUCCCAUUGUUGUAUGUUAAUAAAAAUGUUGAGGUAUGUAAUCACUCUGAAAAUUCCACCCAUUAUCCUAUUUUCAAAGGAAAACUUUGGGAAGAUUACAAACCCUGAAAAAUGAAGACUUGGUGGCUUGCAGUUCCUUCUCCUUCUCCAAGAUGAGGUGGUUGGGUUGCUGAUGAGGACAGGCUGCUGUGAAGUUCUGCUUCAAGGUCUGAUGGUCGUCAAUUCUUCCAAGCCAAAGCCAGGAAUGCCACUUCUACCAUCUGCAUAGUGCCAUAUACACAGAAGAAAUCCAGCCAGCAGAGGAAACAGAUUGCCUAGCAGAAGCCAGAGGGUGACCACCAGGCUCGAGGAACAGGAACAAAGAUCUAGAGUUGAAAACAAAAAACUGACUUUCUAUAAACAAUUUUGGGAUAAAUCAUACCAAUUAAAUAUUGACAGAUGAAGAGCAGUGAUUAUUAAAAAGUAAACAAGGACCACCUUGAGAGCUAAAUCAAGAGCAAAACCCAGGUAUAAAAAAG
rnacentral:lncRNA from 1 species